AAACAAUGAUUUAAAUUCCAAUUGAAGCAACAAAGAGUUCUAUAAAUAUGACCAAAACAAAGAAGAUAAAAUCACUACACUUUGUGCAUUAGAAAACAUGAGGGCAAAGAGGAACUUUCUCGAAAUAGUGAUAAAAUAUUAGAUAUAUAUGUAUUCAAAUAGUUUUUAAACUAGGGAAAGCCAACACAGUUAAGGGUUCUUAUAUACAAGAAAUAUUCCCCAAGAGCUUGAUUUUCUAUUUCACUAAAAAUUCAAAUAAAUGGUAGCAAUAUAGAAAGUCCUUAUCACCCAUAUGAAAACUGGGGAACAUGUCAUGCCCAAGUUGGACAUUGAAAUAAUACAUUAUAAAAUUCAAAAAUCAAUUUCACUUUUUGCACACAUGUACAAAGAGGAAUGACAACCCCUUUGAUGGAUUCCAAGUAUAGGUCCAAUUGGCUUCUUUUUUCAUUUUUUUUCUUCUUGAUUCCAAGUGCACAUUAGAUAUAUAGGGUCGACUUAAUCUGUACUACCAAUGAGACCUAAAUGACUAAUGGAAGUGAUACUGUCCCUAUCUUGUGCCUCUUGCAAGAGUAAAUUAGCAGCCACAAAAGCCUUAUGUGAUUUUUUUCAAGCCUCGGAUAGCAAAAUUUACAUCAUAUAUCUGCACCACAACCACAUAUAAAUUCAAAUCAAAAGUAAAUACAUAGAAUUGAGAAAAAAAAAUAUAAAUUCAUCCCACAAAAAAAACUAUCAUAAGUCAAUGAGAAAAAGAGUUGAGAUAGAGCAUACAAAAUCCUUUAUAGCGUAUUUAUCCAAGAAAAAAAUAAGAAAAAAAAAUGUGGGAAGGAAUAUGAUGCAGACAAUAUGAUGCAAAAAUUCUUCAGUCAAACUUUUUCAGUUUAAUCCAAAAACAUGGUAUGCUAAAAUAUUUUUUGACAAACAAACACUAUUAAAAGAGCAUAACAAAAAGGGCCCAACCAAAGUAUACAAGUAGUGUAAGACAACCAUUAACCAACCAAGAAAAAAAUGGUAAGACAAAUAAACCUCCAUCCCUUUAACUAGAAGCCAACCAAACAAUAAAGUCUAAUAACGACAAAAAAACUUUAUCAAUAAAUAAUAUGGAUAGUAUAUAGGUGAAUUGUGGUACCUUCAAAUUUAUGAGUGAUAAAAAACACACCAUGGAAUCCUUGAGUUGGUGUAGCACUAUUAAAUUGUUUGGAAUGAACAACCUCCAAAAUAUUGGCAAAAGAUAUCAUUUUUUCUCUUUCCUUUUCAAAGAGAAACAACUUUGUAUUUCAUUUCCAAGCAACUUAAAGGUUGAACCACAUAAAAAAAAGAUAGUACAUAAAUUCACAAAGGUAGUACUUGAGAUUCAUAAAAGUAGUACCUAAAGUCCACUAAGGAAGUAAUUAAGGCUCAUUAAGGUAGUACCCAAGGCUCACUAAGGUAGUACCCAAGGCUCACAAAAGUAGCACCUAAGGCUCACUAAUGUAAUACCCAACCCAAGGUUCACUAAGGUAGUACCUAAGGUUGAAACAUCUAAUACUUGAGGUUGGAAAGGGAAAAACCAAUAGAAAACAAAUGUCAUGCUCAAAUCUGCCUUAGGUAUUACCAUAGUGAACCUUGGGUACUACCUUAGUGAACAUUGGGUCCUACCUUAGUGAACCUUGGGUCCUACCUUAGUGAACCUUGGGUGCUACCUUAGUGAACCUUGGAUGCUACCUUAGUGAACCUUAGGCUCACAAAUGAAGUAACUAAGUCUCACAAAUGUUCACAAAUGAAGUUUUGAAGCUUCACACAAGUAGUACCCAAGUUUAACUAUGGUAAUACCUAAGGUUGAUCAAGGUAGUACCUAAGGUUGAUUACCUAAGGUUCACUAUGGCAGUACCCAAGGUUCACUAUGAUAGUAGCUACGGCUUUGCUUACAAAGGCAAUGAGUCUUCUUUGUUACAUUUGUAUUUCACCUAAUCCAAUAACAAAGACAUCACAUAUCACCACAAAAAUCUUAUCAAAAUUGUGCAUUGCAAAAACUAGUGUUGUUUUCUUAGUGUGUUUGAGCAAGUGAAAGGUUUGUUUUGCUUCAAGAGUCUAGUUAAAAUUAUCUCACUUAAGCAUUAUAGUUUGUAGCUAACUUAUCUUUCCAUAAUCCUAAACAAAUUGCUAAUAAUGACAUUAUUAUAUUGUAAUUGGUUAGUCGAUAGAACCUUUAGGUAAUACCUUAAUGGUGUGAAGGUACUACCUUAAUGUACCUAAGGUACUACCUUAGUGAACCUUAAGUACUACCCUAAUGCACCUGAGGUACUACCUUUGUAAACCUUAGGUAUUACCUUAAUGGAGCUUAGGUAGUUCAUUCGUGAACCUUAGGUAGUUAGUUUAUCAAUCCUAGGUAGCACCUUGCUCAACCAUAGCAUAAUUUGUUUAUGAAAGCAUGGAUUAGGUAGCAUUAGUAGGAUUUAGGAAUACGUAACUUUGACAAACUUAUUUCUGUUUUUAUUUUAAUUAAGUGUAUAUAAUAUUCAUGUAAAGGCCUGUAGUUCCAUCUAAACAGUUAGAAUGCCUAGGAAAUCAUACUAAGAAUAGAGUGAAAAAAAAAGGAAUGUACCCAAUUCUACUCCCAUAAAAUACUUUGAGAAAAUAAAAAAAUUAAUUCUGGCUCCUAAGAUGUUAAGGAAAAUUAGAGUUCUUGAUAAAUUUCUUGACAACAUUUUGAAAUAUUGGUUUUAAAUGUUCUGAUAGUACAGUUUAAAAGAGACUUUGUACAAAAAAAAAUUUUCCAGGACCAAUAGGGAUUGAUUUUUUAAAGGUAAAUGACUUAAAUUCCUUUGUUAGAUGCAACAUGAAUUGUUCUUGGAAUGCAAGAAUAACCAAUAAAAGAAAAGAGGCACAUUCCUAAUUUGCCCAAGUUCUGAAAAACAAUUUCUCCUAUCAUCUUAUGCUAUCUAACUGAAUUCAACUCAAUAAAGCCCUUAUCUCAAAUGUUCCUAGAUGGCAAGGAUAGUUAGACAUGAGCAAAACAACAAAGAAGGAUACAAGAGAGUGUAGAUAUUUUAAUACACAUCAAUAAUAUUAAGUUGUAUCUAGAAACAUAAAUCAACAAUAAAGAUGAAGAUUUGUUUAAUCAAGCAUCUGAAGUCUUUGAUAUGCAAUAAGAGAGUUCAAUUGGCAUCAUAUUUCUUUUUUCAAAAUACAAGUGCCCUCAUCAUAUGUCCGUUUCAACAUAAGAAACAAGAACUAUCCCAUCAACUUCUACUAACAAUAUUGUUAAUUACCCUAUCAGAACACUAAGAAUGGGUCAAAGCCUUAUUGGAGAAAGGAGGCUACAUAAGAAUGUUAAUUUCCAGAUCAUACACAAGUGGUGUACUAGACACAAGUCACAGAGCAGGAUAAAUACUUUCCAUAAUAUGUCUUGCAAGCUCAUAUUGAACCUCAUUUCUGAAACUAGAGAGAACCAUGGUCCUAAAUGUAAAACACAUCAAGACACAAUUCAAUUAAAUUGAAUUAGGUUGUUCUUGUCAUUGAAACUCUGCAUGGUUUAACACACAAAAAUACUCAUAAAGAGUGCAAACCUCAUUACCUCAUAUCGAAGCAACAUAACAAAAAGACACAUUGUUCCAACACAUUUGAAACCAAAUUUCAAAUUGUUGAUAUGUUGUUUUCAUUAAUACUAAAACAUGAUGUAAUAACUUGACCAAUAGUCAUUUGGGUAUCAAAUUACGAACACUAGGGUUCCUUAUACGAUUAUCAACUCUCAGUUUGCAGAACUCAAUGAGCAUUGUUUUGUAGAAGCUUUAAAUUUGAGCAUAAAUCGCAAAAUAAAGUAGGGUUUUGGCCAAGAAAAAACCUAAUUAGUGUGAAGAGGAGGAGAAAUUGAAUAGGUUGUGGGUUUGAGUUGUAGAGAAGCCCAUAGACUGAGGAGCAGAGAAAAAAGCGACGUCGAUCUACCCAUGAUUCAUCUUCAUCGUGAUCUAAAAUUCCUUUCCCUUAUUCCACUCCUUGGUUGCAGGCCUCCUCGUCAUAGGAAACAAAAGGGAGUCCUCGUCAUAGGAAACAAAAGGGAGAUGAAGCAUGCUAGUUGUAGAUGUGAGAGGUAGCAGGAAAGAAAGAGACGAAAAUAGGAAGAAAGUGAGACUUGGGGAGGUUAGGGUUUUUCCGAAUUUAGGUUUUGAAAAGGAAAAGUGCAAAUAGAGAAUUUUUUAUUUGGAUUUC
rnacentral:lncRNA from 1 species